GUGGGGAAUAUUGGGCAAUGGGGGAAACCCUGACCCAGCGACGCCGCGUGAGGGAAGAAGGCCUUAGGGUCGUAAACCUCUGUUGUGUGGGAAGAAGAGCGUGACGGUACCACACGAGGAAGUCCCGGCUAACUACGUGCCAGCAGCCGCGGUAAUACGUAGGGGACGAGCGUUGUCCGGAUUUACUGGGCGUAAAGGGCGCGUAGGCGGUCAUUUAAGUCAGCUGUGAAAUGGUUUGGCUUAACCGGAUCAUGCGGUUGAAACUGGAUGACUGGAGUGCUGGAGAGGCAAGUGGAAUUCCCAGUGUAGCGGUGAAAUGCGUAGAUAUUGGGAAGAACACCGGUGGCGAAGGCGACUUGCUGGCCAGCAACUGACGCUGAGGCGCGAAAGCCAGGGGAGCAAACGGGAUUAGAAACCCCGGUAGUCC
rnacentral:rRNA from 1 species